rnacentral:rRNA from 1 species
CCUACGGGUGGCUGCAGUCGAGAAUCUUCGGCAAUGGGCGCAAGCCUGACCGAGCGACGCUACGUGCGGGAUGAAGGCCCUUGGGUUGUAAACCGCUGUCAGAGGGGAUGAAAGCGCAAGCUUGACAGAGCCUCAGAGGAAGCGCGGGCUAAGUUCGUGCCAGCAGCCGCGGUAAUACGAACUGCGCAAACGUUAUUCGGAAUCACUGGGCUUACAGGGUGCGUAGGCGGCCAUUCAGGUCCGAUGUGAAAUCCCACAGCUCAACUGUGGAACGG